rnacentral:rRNA from 1 species
UACGUAGGGGGCUAGCGUUGUCCGGAAUCAUUGGGCGUAAAGCGCGUGUAGGCGGUCCGGUAAGUCCGCUGUGAAAGUCGGGGGCUCAACCCUCGGAUGCCGGUGGAUACUGUCGGGCUUGAGUACGGAAGAGGCGAGUGGAAUCCUGGUGUAGCGGUGAAAUGCGCAGAUAUCAGGAGGAACACCAAUUGCGAAGGCAGCUCGCUGGGACGUUACUGACGCUGAGACGCGAAAGCGUGGGAGCAAACAGG